rnacentral:RNase_P_RNA from 1 species
GUGGUGGAUCAGGGCGUCGCUGCUCGCAAGGGCAGAGGAAAGUCCGGGCUCCACAGGGUGCUGGGCCUGGUAACACCAGGGCGGGGCGACCCGACGGAAAGUGCAGCAGAGAACAGACCGCCGAUGGCCGCGCAAGCGGAUCAGGCAAGGGUGAAACGGUGGGGUAAGAGCCCACCGCCGGGCUGGCAACAGAACGGGCAAGGCAAACCCCCCAGGGAGCAAGACCAAAUAGGCCGGCGCACCGCGCAAGCGGCGAGGGUUGACCCGACCGAGCCGGCGGGUAGGUCGCUUGAGGUGGAUGGCGACAUCCAUCCCAGAGGAAUGACGCUCCACGACAGAACCCGGCUUACCGAUCCACCGGAGCC